UUUGGUUGUGUUGCUGGCGAGUGCCGAAAGACAACGACGCGACGAGAGGCAACGACGCGACGCGUUCGGCAUGGCCGAAGAAGAGUUUCGAAGGCAUUUUAGUCUCUCCAAAGACAUAGUGCGACGUCUUUGCGAUGAGCUGGAAGGACAUCUCGGACCUCAAAGAUUGCGUAGUGUCGACACUACGAUGAAAGUGCUGUGCGCGCUGCGGUUUUUUGCCACCGGGAGCUUUCAACAGUGCGUCGGGAAUGAAGAAGCGAUUGCACUGUCGUAGCCUUCGGUCAGCCGGAUCAUUACAGCCGUCGCCAAGGCCAUUACGGUUGUGGGCAAGGAAAAAGGAUGGGUUAGAUUCCCAUCCACGGCGCAACAGAAAACCGCCGUCAAGGAAGGCUUUCUUAGCCGUGGAAAAAUUCCAGGAGUUCUAGGAUGUGUGGACGGGAGUCUGAUAGCCAUCGUUCGCCCUAAGAAGCUCGGCCACGGCGAAACGGAAUCGUACUGGAGCCGUAAAGGGUAUUACACCCUCAACUGCAUGGUCGUGUGCGACGCGAAGCUGAAUAUCCUGGAAAUUGACCCACGGUUUCCGGGAUCGUGCCACGAUUCUUUCGUCUGGAGGCAUUCUGCAUUUCGCCGCCGCCUCACUCGUGGCCUGUUACUUCAUGGAGAAGUCUUGCUUGGGGACUCUGGGUACCCGCUAGAGCCAUGGAUCACGACUCCUGUGCCUGGUCACCCAAAUCGCCUCACGG